CAUGAAGCACAAACAGUUGAGCUAGCGGUGGAGCCUGCAACUGCCAAUGCCAAGGAGGGAAUGGAGGCGAGAAGAGUCCCCGAAGGAGGACGGAUGGGCAGAAGAAGCUGGGGCCAAGGAAAAGGAAUGGCGAGAUGGGACCAGCAGGACAUACAGGAGGGUUCACUGGCCUGUGGAGUUCUGGAUUUAAACUACUGCAAGAUUUCAAGGAAGAGAGCGGUGAGCAUGCAGACAAAGCCUGACUGACCCCAGGUUGGAGGAGAUGAUUUGGCAGCAGUGGAAGCAAGUGAUCUCUACACAGACGGGAGUGGGUCAUGCCAAGUUCUCUUAACUUGCACGGAAGGCUGGAGGCGAGUCUGCACGUAAAGCCUGCUGAUGCCAGCGGCUUGAAGCUGGUGGACGCCAGCUGAGUGGACCCGGCGGAAGCUGGUGGAUGUUUGGGGGAUGUCUAAAGCUGGUGUGGGUUUCUCAAGUGGCGAUCUCAGAAAGUAAGCCAGAGAAUUGAUGGACAUGGUGAAACCAGCAGAUAUCCACCACCUCCUAGGACUUGGUUUCUGGACCCUGCACCAUCUUUGUUGCCUUCAGAACCCAUUCCACGUUGUGGAGGAAAACUUCAGAAGCACUUUUCCUCCUGAUUUAUGAUUGUAUAACCCUUUUUCAUAUCCCCUUCUUCUUCAUCAUUUGUAUGUUUUCUAGACAAUAAAGUCUCCUCCUGCCAGUCA